rnacentral:rRNA from 1 species
UACGUAGGGUGCAAGCGUUGUCCGGAAUUAUUGGGCGUAAAGAGCUCGUAGGCGGUUUGUCGCGUCUGCUGUGAAAACUCGGGGCUUAACCCCGGGCCUGCAGUGGGUACGGGCAGACUAGAGUGCGGUAGGGGAGACUGGAAUUCCUGGUGUAGCGGUGAAAUGCGCAGAUAUCAGGGGGAACACCGGUGGCGAAGGCGGGUCUCUGGGCCGACACUGACGCUGAUGCGCGAAAGCUAGGGGAGCGAACGGG